UACGGGGGGAGCAAGCGUUGUUCGGAUUUACUGGGCGUAAAGGGCGCGUAGGCGGCCAGCACAAGUCAGUUGUGAAAUCUCCGAGCUUAACUCGGAACGGUCAACUGAUACUGUGCGGCUAGAGUGCGGAAGGGGCAACUGGAAUUCUCGGUGUAGCGGUGAAAUGCGUAGAUAUCAGGAGGAAUACCGAUGGCGAAGGCAGGUCUCUGGGCUGACACUGACGCUCAUGCACGAAAGCGUGGGGAGCAAACAGG
rnacentral:rRNA from 1 species